GGUUAAGCGACUAAGCGUACACGGUGGAUGCCCUGGCAGUCAGAGGCGAUGAAGGACGUGCUAAUCUGCGAUAAGCGUCGGUGAGGUGAUAUGAACCGUUAUAACCGGCGAUUUCCGAAUGGGGAAACCCAGUGUGUUUCGACACACUAUCAUUAACUGAAUCCAUAGGUUAAUGAGGCGAACCGGGGGAACUGAAACAUCUAAGUACCCCGAGGAAAAGAAAUCAACCGAGAUUCCCCCAGUAGCGGCGAGCGAACGGGGAGGAGCCCAGAGCCUGAAUCAGUGUGUGUGUUAGUGGAAGCGUCUGGAAAGGCGCGCGAUACAGGGUGACAGCCCCGUACACAAAAAUGCACAUAUUGUGAGCUCGAUGAGUAGGGCGGGACACGUGGUAUCCUGUCUGAAUAUGGGGGGACCAUCCUCCAAGGCUAAAUACUCCUGACUGACCGAUAGUGAACCAGUACCGUGAGGGAAAGGCGAAAAGAACCCCGGCGAGGGGAGUGAAAAAGAACCUGAAACCGUGUACGUACAAGCAGUGGGAGCCUCUUAAUGGGGUGACUGCGUACCUUUUGUAUAAUGGGUCAGCGACUUAUAUUCUGUAGCAAGGUUAACCGAAUAGGGGAGCCGAAGGGAAACCGAGUCUUAACUGGGCGUUAAGUUGCAGGGUAUAGACCCGAAACCCGGUGAUCUAGCCAUGGGCAGGUUGAAGGUUGGGUAACACUAACUGGAGGACCGAACCGACUAAUGUUGAAAAAUUAGCGGAUGACUUGUGGCUGGGGGUGAAAGGCCAAUCAAACCGGGAGAUAGCUGGUUCUCCCCGAAAGCUAUUUAGGUAGCGCCUCGUGAAUUCAUCUCCGGGGGUAGAGCACUGUUUCGGCAAGGGGGUCAUCCCGACUUACCAACCCGAUGCAAACUGCGAAUACCGGAGAAUGUUAUCACGGGAGACACACGGCGGGUGCUAACGUCCGUCGUGAAGAGGGAAACAACCCAGACCGCCAGCUAAGGUCCCAAAGUCAUGGUUAAGUGGGAAACGAUGUGGGAAGGCCCAGACAGCCAGGAUGUUGGCUUAGAAGCAGCCAUCAUUUAAAGAAAGCGUAAUAGCUCACUGGUCGAGUCGGCCUGCGCGGAAGAUGUAACGGGGCUAAACCAUGCACCGAAGCUGCGGCAGCGACGCUUAUGCGUUGUUGGGUAGGGGAGCGUUCUGUAAGCCUGUGAAGGUG
rnacentral:rRNA from 1 species